rnacentral:tRNA from 1 species
GCCGGGAUAGCUCAGGUGGUCAGAGCGCUGGACUCAUAAUCCAGAGGUCGCGGGUUCAAAGCCCGCUCCCGGCACCA